GCCAGUGUGACAUAGUGGUUUGAGCACUGAGCUAUGACCCUGGUGACCAAGGUUCGAUCCCCAGCUUGGCCA